ACUUUCAACAACGGAUCUCUUGGCUCUCGCAUCGAUGAAGAACGCAGCGAAAUGCGAUAAGUAAUGUGAAUUGCAGAAUUCAGUGAAUCAUCGAAUCUUUGAACGCACCUUGCGCUCCUUGGUAUUCCGAGGAGCAUGCCUGUUUGAGUGUCAUUAA
rnacentral:rRNA from 1 species